UCAAUGUCAGUGGCUGUGCGUUUCAGAAGUGAGCGCCUGUAAGGUAGCAUCGUAUUAAAACUGUUUUUGCAUCAUGUUCCUGGGGAAGCUACAGUUAAAUCUGUAAAUUCCUAUUACAAAUAAUUACGCUUGCCUGACGUUCAAAGCAAAAACUACCCUUUCUAAGUAUUAGUGUUUUCCGCGUUUGUAACCCGUACGUUAUGUAUACCUCAGAUAAAAUGACUUGUUUAAACUGUUUUUAAGUCCUUUUUAUUUGUGUUUAUUUUCCGUUUACUUUUUGGAGUCAGACUACCUGCUGUUUUAUUGGUUUAAAAUACCUUUGUUACGACGUUUUCCAACAUAAAUUAGAAGCCUACCAUAGACUACAUUUUAACGACGUAUUCAUUAAAAAGUAUUGAUAUAGUAGUGCCUGGCGGCUAUGGUUUAACUGUUUGUUGUAUGUGAACAAAGUUGUGAGAAGUACUUUUCCGGUCACUUUCUGUUUAAGACCGGGGACCAAGUAACCAACAUUUUUGUCACACUAGUGAAGCAUGCGUUUGUGAUGUAUUUUCAAACUCGUGGUGCUGUCAGUACGUGUUUGCAGCCACCGGUGUAUUUUUAAAAUACCCUGUUCUCAUCUAAAGCUUUUUGUUUCCUUGGUGUUCUGAGGUAUCACUUUCACAGCCUUGUUGCUCAGCCCCACUAAUUGUACGUUAUGUGGCUUGUGUCAGAACAAACGGUUUGUGUAGACGGUAUGGCGAUUGGAAUCGGAGCGGCCGUGCUGCUGCCGUUGCCUUUCAUGCAUAGAUUUCAGUAAUUAUACACACAGGAGAGAAGUUUGCCCCUAACUUCGACUGGCAGGCAGGUCUGCCUAUUAGGCAGAUAAUAAAACACCUCUCUGCGAAAACCCGCCUCCUCAGUUACAUCACAAAGGAAACACGCCUUCUAAGGGCAAAAGCUGCCUGUUUCCACGCCCUCACAUUCAAACUGAAAACUGCGCGCCAAGGUUUUGCAGCAGAACAGAUUUGGAAUGAAAAAGGUAGGAUGUUUUAUUCAUCUUCUCAAAAUACACCGUUUUUAGCAGAACGUAUGCACACAAAGGCAUUAAAAUAUGUUGAGUUACGCCUUAAAUAUGAAUAUGAAUAUCUUCUUCUGUUAAGUUGUAUUAUAUGGAACGUUUCUGGAUCUCAUCACUUGAAGACUCUCUGCGCAAGGAGUCUGACGCACGUGUGCAGAGAACGGUACAUAUUGUAAAACGAGAUUCAAGAGAGGAUUUUAUGCAAAAUCACUUGACAUGUCUUAAGGAGAAUGGAACUGGCACAUUUGUAGCUAUCAAAAAAAGAGGGGAAAAUCACUUUCAGUGGCAAUGUGAAAGGUCCAAUAAACCAAAAGGCGGUACACAGAUGGAUUGUCCGACGUGAUGGAGGAUGCAGUCAGAAUCUGUCUGCAAAAAAUGAAGUGAUUAGGUCUAUGAUUGCCUUAAAACAAUGCAGUACAGCUGCCGAGUUUGAAAAGAUGUCAAAGGAAGUGAUUGUCAAAACAGACAGAGAAACUGGCAGUUCAGUAAUUUCACAGUAUCUAUCUACAGGACCAUUGGUUUCGAAAUGCAGACAUGUGGGCCAAUUUUGGACGGAGAGUUUACCACCAAGACAGUGAAACGAACAACCUUGUUGAGAGAUUUUUUUCAGCAUGAAGUAUCAGUUUCUUCAUGGCUAUGCAAACAGACGAGUUGAUGAACUACUUCUACUACUUAAUACCAAGGUGGUCACUUACUAGAGUAUCUGUACAAAUAAGGAGAUAGUGUACCACAGGUAUCUGGAAGGUCUUCAUGGUGCUCAGAGGAUUUCUGAUUCCAAAACACAGGAUACUGCAGAAUCUGCAUUACGUACGAAGAACAAAGGCCUUCAAAAUAAUUUUGUUUACAAAUCAGGUGGCCAUUGCACAGUGCCUUCAGAAGCAGAUAAAGCAAAAUGUUAUGCUGUGGAUUUAAUUAGCAUGAAAUGUGAAUGCGCCGUUUCUGAAAGGGGUAAUUUGUGCAAGCAUAUUGAGUUUGCAAAAAUGAUGUGCAAAGAACAGGGGAUUGAUAUUGAUGGAAUUCGAAAAGAAUUAGCCAGUUCACUAACUGAACAGCAUUGCUAUGAGUGGGAUGGAAAACAUUUAAUUGUACAUUGUGCUGGUAGUUUUGGAGUAGUACAUGUGCAAAACCAACAGUGUACCUGUCUUGCCAAUAGUCUUGGAGAAAUAUGUGUCUGUCUAAGACUUUCUGAGUUAAUUGGUACACAGAACCCUAACCAAGAGGUAACAGACUGCUUUGUGAAUACCACAGCAAAUUGUCAAUCACACAAUAAACAGUUGUGUGUAAAGAAGAUGAUUUCAGACUUAAAGGAGUGGUGUGACAGCAGUGAUUAUAAGGAAUCUCCAGAGUUGAAUGCUGUAGUAAAACGUGCACACCAACUAGCAUUUGGACAGUAUAGCAUGGCCAGCAAUAAAAUAAAAAUUAUAAGGCUGCAUGCUUACAGAAAACGCAUUGAAAGAGCAAGAAGCCAUGCUAUAGACAUGCAUUCAUAUCAGCUCAAAGAACCCCUUAAUCGAGCUUUAUAUACCCAUAGACUUGAUUCCAAAUUCAAAGUCUGUUCCUUUAGAAAAAGAAUAAUUGGUAGCAGAGCAAAGAAUCAGAUACUAAAAUCGAGCUGAACGUGUGCUGUUAUGAGCCCACGCCUUUAUUUUUGAAUUACAGAAUGCACACAAAACUGGACAAAGUAUAGAGGUUAAUUACAACUGUUAAGGACCUCAAAGGUCUCUUCAAGUAAGAGUGAAAUAGCUAUUUAUAUGUAUAGUGGCAGCAUGUUAUCAAAAAUAAAAUAUAUGUUGCAUAGUUCUAAUUGCUGAUGAUUGUAUUCUGGCCAAGUUGGUCGAUAUUUGAUAUGGUAUGUCUCCCUUUUCUCUCUUAAUCAGAUUACUUAAAUAACACUUAAAUGUGCAUUAUUGUAACACUUUGUAAAGAAGUUGUAAAAAUAUGAUUUGUAGUAAAUAGAAAGUGCAAUCUUUAAGUAGCGAGUGGUGUAAAAGCAAAUUGUUAACAUAAAAAUCUAAGCCUGAACUGAAUUUCUUUCAAAGGGGGAACAUGUCAGGGGGUCAUUAGAGCUGAGAAGUGGGGAGGAGGGUUCUUCUGUACAGCACUUUUUUCCACAAUUGGGUCCAGUACUUUGUAUUGCUCUGUAUCAGUCUGUUGAAGCAUGUAUGUGCAGUUUUACAUUUUAAUACUGCUAAUAUUUAAAUCAUAAACAAAUAAAACAAGAAACUAUAAAUAUGA